UACGUAGGGUGCAAGCGUUGUCCGGAAUUAUUGGGCGUAAAGAGCUCGUAGGCGGUUUAUCGCGUCUGCUGUGAAAACUCGGGGCUCAACUCCGAGCUUGCAGUGGGUACGGGCAGACUAGAGUGCGGUAGGGGAGACUGGAAUUCCUGGUGUAGCGGUGGAAUGCGCAGAUAUCAGGAGGAACACCGGUGGCGAAGGCGGGUCUCUGGGCCGUAACUGACGCUGAGGAGCGAAAGCAUGGGGAGCGAACAGG
rnacentral:rRNA from 1 species